UCAUCAAAGAGGCCAACAUACUAACUCACUCUGCGGCAGAUAUGCGGCCCGCAUUGCUAUUAUGCAGCCGCAUAAUGGGCCGCGUUUCUGCAAAACAUAUUUCCUUAACUUUUGAAUGCACAGAUCACCCAAAAGGUCCGAAUCGCGGCGAACUUCUUAACUUGGCACUGCAAGAUUUCGGGUUUUUGAGUAAAAAUUUCACUGGGCCUUACACUAACUCAGGCCCAGAAGCUAGCUCAUAGGGGAGGAUUGCCCAAGUCUAUAUAAUGAGAUAACCAGUCCAUUCCCCACC
rnacentral:lncRNA from 1 species